ACGGGCGGCGUUCGGUCGCCCACAACGGGACCUCAG
rnacentral:rRNA from 1 species